rnacentral:rRNA from 1 species
AAUCAACGCUGGCGGCGUGCCUAACACAUGCAAGUCGAACGCGAAAGCCCCGCAAGGGGUAAGUAGAGUGGCAAACGGGUGAGUAACACGUGGGUGACCUGCCUUCGAGUGGGGGAUAACGUCCCGAAAGGGACGCUAAUACCGCAUGACAUCCUGCUUUUGAAGAAGCGGAGAUCAAAGCUGGGGAUCGCAAGACCUAGCGCUUGAAGAGGGGCCCGCGCCUGAUUAGCUAGUUGGUGAGGUAACGGCUCACCAAGGCGACGAUCAGUACCCGGCCUGAGAGGGCGGACGGACACACUGGGACUGAGACACGGCCCAGACUCCUACGGGAGGCAGCAGUGGGGAAUUGUUCGCAAUGGGCGCAAGCCUGACGACGCAACGCCGCGUGGAGGACGAAGAUCUUCGGGUCGUAAACUCCUGUCAAGCGGGACGAACGCUUCGCGGAUGAAUAAUCCGCGGAAUUGACGGUACCGCUAAAGGAAGCCCCGGCUAACUCCGUG